UACGUAGCGUACGAACGUUAUUCGGAAUUACUGGGCUUAAAGGGUUUGUAGGCGGCCUUGUAAGUCAGGUGUGAAAUCCCUCGGCUCAACCGAGGAAUAGCGCUUGAUACUGCAAGGCUUGAGGGAGACAGGGGUAAGCGGAACUGAUGGUGGAGCGGUGAAAUGCGUAGAUAUCGUUUGGAACGCCAAUGGUGAAAACAAGUAGCUGGGGAUGUGCCGACGCUGAGACACGAAAGCCAGGGGAGCGAACGGG
rnacentral:rRNA from 1 species